rnacentral:rRNA from 1 species
GAUGAACGCUGGCGGCGUGCCUAAUACAUGCAAGUCGAGCGAACAGACGAGGAGCUUGCUCCUUUGACGUUAGCGGCGGACGGGUGAGUAACACGUAGGUAACCUACCUAUAAGACUGGGAUAACUUCGGGAAACCGGAGCUAAUACCGGAUAAUAUUUCGAACCGCAUGGUUCGAUAGUGAAAGAUGGCUUUGCUAUCACUUAUAGAUGGACCUGCGCCGUAUUAGCUAGUUGGUAAGGUAAUGGCUUACCAAGGCAACGAUACGUAGCCGACAUGAGAGGGUGAUCGGCCACACUGGAACUGAGACACGGUCCAGACUCCUACGGGGGGCAGCAGUAGGGAAUCUUCCGCAAUGGGCGAAAGCCUGACGGAGCAACGCCGCGUGAGUGAUGAAGGUCUUCGGAUCGUGAAACUCUGUUAUUAGGGAAGAACAAACGUGUAAGUAACUGUGCACGUCUUGACGGUACCUAAUCAGAAAGCCAUGGCUAACUACGUGCCAGCAGCCGCCGUAACAC